GGGAGUGGAGGGGCAGGUGCUGAACUCUGCUCUCUGGGGACAGCUAUAGGUCCUGAGGGAACGGCAUGGAGCUGGGACAGGGGAUGGUCAGGCUGGGUGUUAGGGAAAGGUCUGCACCCAAAGGGUGGUUGGGCACUAGGACAGGCUUCCCAGGGCAGUGUUUACAGCACCAAGCCUGCUGGAGUUCAAGAAGUGUUUGGACAACUCUCUCAGACACAUGGUCUGAUUUUUGGGUGGUCCUGGGCACUGGAACAGGCUCC